rnacentral:tRNA from 1 species
GACCGCGUAGCUUAGUUGGCAGAGCAUUGGGCUAGUAUUCCAAAGGUUGUAGGUUCGAUUCCCACCGUGGCCA